UACGAAGGGGGCUAGCGUUGCUCGGAAUCACUGGGCGUAAAGGGUGCGUAGGCGGGUCUUUUUAAGUUUGGUGUGAAAUCUCCCGGCUCAACUGGGGAGGGUGCGCCGAAUACUGAGGGACUAGAGUACGGGAGAGGAAAGUGGAAUUCCUGGUGUAGCGGUGAAAUGCGUAGAUAUCAGGAGGAACACCGGUGGUGUAGACGGCUUUCUGGACCGUAACUGACGCUGAGACACGAAAGCGUGGGUAGCAAACAGG
rnacentral:rRNA from 1 species